AAUCAACGCUGGCGGCGUGCCUCAGACAUGCAAGUCGAACGCGAAAGUUUCCUUCGGGAGACAAGUAGAGUGGCGCACGGGUGAGUAACACGUAGGUAAUCUACCUUUGGAUGGGGAAUAACAACCGGAAACGGUUGCUAAUACCGCAUAAUGCAGCGGCACCUAAUGGUGACAGUUGUUAAAGCGGGGGAUCGAAAGACCUCGCGUCUAAAGAGGAGCCUGCGGCGGAUUAGCUAGNGGUAAGGUAAUGGCUUACCAAGGCUACGAUCCGUAACCGGCCUGAGAGGGCGGUCGGUCACACUGACACUGACAUACGGGUCAGACUCCUACGGGAGGCAGCAGUCGGGAAUUUUGGGCAAUGGGCGAAAGCCUGACCCAGCAACGCCGCGUGAAGGAUGAAAUCCCUCGGGAUGUAAACUUCGCAAGAACGGGAAGAA
rnacentral:rRNA from 1 species